UACAGAGGUCCCAAGCGUUGUUCGGAUUCACUGGGCGUAAAGGGUGCGUAGGUGGUUGGGAAAGUUUGAUGUGAAAGCUCGGAGCUUAACUCCGAAAUGGCAUUGAAUACUUCUUAACUUGAGGGUCGGAGGGGAGACUGGAAUUCUCGGUGUAGCAGUGAAAUGCGUAGAUAUCGAGAGGAACACCAGUGGCGAAGGCGAGUCUCUGGACGACUCCUGACACUGAGGAGCGAAAGCGUGGGGAGCGAACAGG
rnacentral:rRNA from 1 species